GACGUACCACCCGAACGUUAUUCGGAUUCACUGGGCUUACAGAGUCCGUAGGCGGUCAAGAAAGUUAGGCGUGAAAUCCCUCAGCUCAACUGAGGAAUAGCGCUUAAAACUACUUGGCUAGAGAGAGUCAGAGGUGAGUGGAACUGAUGGUGGAGCGGUGAAAUGCGUUGAUAUCAUCAGGAACACCGGUGGCGAAAGCGGCUCACUGGGGCUUUUCUGACGCUGAGGGACGAAAGCUAGGGGAGCGAACGGG
rnacentral:rRNA from 1 species